rnacentral:rRNA from 1 species
UUAAAUUGAAGAGUUUGAUCAUGGCUCAGAUUGAACGCUGGCGGCAGGCCUAACACAUGCAAGUCGAACGGUAACAGGAAGAAGCUUGCUUCUUUGCUGACGAGUGGCGGACGGGUGAGUAAUGUCUGGGAAACUGCCUGAUGGAGGGGGAUAACUACUGGAAACGGUAGCUAAUACCGCAUAACGUCGCAAGACCAAAGAGGGGGACCUUCGGGCCUCUUGCCAUCGGAUGUGCCCAGAUGGGAUUAGCUAGUAGGUGGGGUAACGGCUCACCUAGGCGACGAUCCCUAGCUGGUCUGAGAGGAUGACCAGCCACACUGGAACUGAGACACGGUCCAGACUCCUACGGGAGGCAGCAGUGGGGAAUAUUGCACAAUGGGCGCAAGCCUGAUGCAGCCAUGCCGCGUGUAUGAAGAAGGCCUUCGGGUUGUAAAGUACUUUCAGCGGGGAGG